rnacentral:piRNA from 1 species
UGAACAUGAGCACAGUACUGAAUGCAGUGA